rnacentral:rRNA from 1 species
UGGGUAGUUUGACUGGGGCGGUCUCCUCCUAAAGAGUAACGGAGGAGCACGAAGGUUGGCUAAUCCUGGUCGGACAUCAGGAGGUUAGUGCAAUGGCAUAAGCCAGCUUGACUGCGAGCGUGACGGCGCGAGCAGGUGCGAAAGCAGGUCAUAGUGAUCCGGUGGUUCUGAAUGGAAGGGCCAUCGCUCAACGGAUAAAAGGUACUCCGGGGAUAACAGGCUGAUACCGCCCAAGAGUUCAUAUCGACGGCGGUGUUUGGCACCUCGAUGUCGGCUCAUCACAUCCUGGGGCUGAAGUAGGUCCCAAGGGUAUGGCUGUUCGCCAUUUAAAGUGGUACGCGAGCUGGGUUUAGAACGUCGUGAGACAGUUCGGUCCCUAUCUGCCGUGGGCGCUGGAGAACUGAGGGGGGCUGCUCCUAGUACGAGAGGACCGGAGUGGACGCAUCACUGGUGUUCGGGUUGUCAUGCCAAUGGCACUGCCCGGUAGCUAAAUGCGGAAGAGAUAAGUGCUGAAAGCAUCUAAGCACGAAACUUGCCCCGAGAUGAGUUCUCCCUGACCCUUUAAGGGUCCUGAAGGAACGUUGAAGACGACGACGUUGAUAGGCCGGGUGUGUAAGCGCAGCGAUGCGUUGAGCUAACCGGUACUAAUGAACCGUGAGG